rnacentral:lncRNA from 1 species
CUUAUUGUAAUCUCAAGAUGGAGGAUGAGCCAGAGUUGCUCUGUUAUAAAUGAAGACGGCAACUCAUAAUGGCCAAAUGACACAUGCCUAAUCACAAUAGGUCCCUUGGGUGCAGAGCCAUGUUAUCGAGAGUGACACCUGGUGGCCGUAUUCACUUCCCUGUACCAAGAAAGGUUAAAGGGGAGGCUUUCUAGGCUAGUCACUCAGGGAGCAGUGAGUCCUAAACUAGGCAGAGAGAGUUCUGAGACUCUUGCACCACUGUAAGUUUGUCCUUUCAAGAAACAACAUAUGAUGAAAGAACCUAAACUCUCUGUUCUUCUUCUCCAGGCUCUCUUGCUCUUUUCUUUGAUUCCUGUGAUAAACUCAGAAGCAAAUGAGUUUGCAUUAACGUCCUACCCUGUCCUGUCUGAAAACAAAACAGUACAUUUUAAGCGUGUGGGUGACUCUUUGAUGUCAUGAGAAACACUAAUGGCCCUUAAUUUCCAGGGUACUUUCAGGUUCCUCUCUGUACCUUUCUCGUGUUUUUUUUUUCUUUUUUUUUUUUUUUUGCAGAGACAGAUGCUGCUUAAUGAGACAGGAAAACAGACACUUUUUUCUUUUUCUUUUGUUCUAAAGCAGACAAAGUGCUUUCUGGGUGCUUAGAAGAUAAGAAAGCUGUUGUCAAAUCGCUGGAAAAGCCAUCUGGAAAGAAAUCUUACAAAGUGAAGACUGUAAGAAAAAUAUCUAAGAAUGCUGAAGCUACAGAAGAUAUCAAGGAUUGUGUCUAAAGGUCUGGAGUUGAGAGAGAUUGAUCUUUGUGUGUCAACUAAGCAACAUCCCAGCAAUAGUUCCUACAAGAGACUUCUCUGCUCUAAGGAGGUUGGAUUUCAUAUUUAUAAUAUCUUAAUUUUCACCAACAUGAUUUGGAUGACUCAAGUGGAACAAAGAAGUUAAUUGAGCACAUUAUUUCAGUUUAUUUCAUGGAAUUAUGCAAGACACAGAGCUUGUUAAAAAGAAGAAGAAAGAAAAACAAAGUAAAUACCAGUCUGCCUUCUCUCUGAACAGACAACACCUGCAAUCAUGGCUACCUGGAUAGCCAAAAAAAUGAAGUCCACUUGACUCUCAAAGAUGUAGAAGAAUUGUCAGUAGCCUCAUUUUAUCACUGUGUCCACCAGCUACCAAUUCGUGUUGCCAUAAGUUUAACACAAACAUUUGCUAUGAAAAAUGACUAGUGCUAUGAUUUUCUUCAAAAAAUGAAAUGAUCUGACAUUAUUACAUAGUGUUUUCUUGUGGAAUGAGAAGUUAAAAAGCCUGGCAGGGUAGGUGAUUUCUAGGACAAAUCAAAGUUUCAUAGAAAAGCAACAACACUCUAAGAAGAGUGCCUAAUAAACUAUGUGGUGGUGCUCGCCUUUAAUCCUAG